rnacentral:rRNA from 1 species
GACGAACGCUGGCGGCGUGCUUAACACAUGCAAGUCGAACGGAAAGGCCUGUCCUUCCUUGUGUUGGACGGGUACUCGAGUGGCGAACGGGUGAGUAACACGUGAGUGAUCUGCCCCCAACUUGGGUAUAAGCCUGGGAAACUGGGUCUAAUUCCCGAUAGGACUGCAGGGUGGUGCCUGUGGUGGAAAACGAUUUUCUAGUGGUUGGGGAUGAGCUCGCGGCCUAUCAGCUUGUUGGUGGGGUAAUGGCCUACCAAGGCGGCGACGGGUAGCCGGCCUGAGAGGGUGGACGGCCACAUUGGGACUGAGACACGGCCCAGACGCCUACGGGAGGCAGCAGUGGGGAAUAUUGCGCAAUGGGCGGAAGCCUGAUGCAGCGACGCCGCGUGGGAGAUGACGGCCUUCGGGUUGUAAACUCCUUUCGACCGCGAGGAAGCCGCCUGGUUGGAAGGGUGGUGACGGUAGUGGUAGAAGAAGCACCGGCUAACUACGUG